rnacentral:rRNA from 1 species
CCCUUAGAUGUUCUGGGUCGCACGCGCGCUACACUGACUACUUCAACGAGUUGUUUCCUUGAUCGAAAGGUCUGGGUAAUCUUUGAAAGGUAGUCGUGAUGGGGAUAGAUCCUUGCAAUUUUUGAUCUUCAACGAGGAAUUCCUAGUAAACGCAAGUCAUCAGCUUGCAUUGAUUACGUCCCUGCCCUUUGUACACACCGCCCGUCGCACCUACCGAUUGAAUGGUCCGGUGAAUCUUUAGGGCUGUGGCUGAGGCCUUGCCUUGUGCGGGUCUGGCCGUGGGAAUUUAGUUAAACCUUACCAUUUAGAGGAAGGUGAAGUCGUAACA